UGCCUUAGUAACGGCGAGUGAAGCGGCAAAAGCUCAAAUUUGAAAUCUGGCACCUUCGGUGUCCGAGUUGUAAUUUGAAGAAGGUAACUUUGGAGUUGGCUCUUGUCUAUGUUCCUUGGAACAGGACGUCACAGAGGGUGAGAAUCCCGUGCGAUGAGAUGCCCAAUUCUAUGUAAAGUGCUUUCGAAGAGUCGAGUUGUUUGGGAAUGCAGCUCUAAGUGGGUGGUAAAUUCCAUCUAAAGCUAAAUAUUGGCGAGAGACCGAUAGCGAACAAGUACAGUGAUGGAAAGAUGAAAAGAACUUUGAAAAGAGAGUGAAAAAGUACGUGAAAUUGUUGAAAGGGAAGGGCUUGAGAUCAGACUUGGUAUUUUGCGAUCCUUUCCUUCUUGGUUGGGUUCCUCGCAGCUUACUGGGCCAGCAUCGGUUUGGAUGGUAGGAUAAUGACUAAGGAAUGUGGCUCUACUUCGGUGGAGUGUUAUAGCCUUGGUUGAUACUGCCUGUCUAGACCGAGGACUGCGUCUUUUGACUAGGAUGU
rnacentral:rRNA from 1 species